GCUGGCGGCGUGCCUAAUACAUGCAAGUCGAGCGAACAGAUAAGGAGCUUGCUCCUUUGACGUUAGCGGCGGACGGGUGAGUAACACGUGGAUAACCUACCUAUAAGACUGGGAUAACUUCGGGAAACCGGAGCUAAUACCGGAUAACAUAUUGAACCGCAUGGUUCAAUAGUGAAAGGCGGCUUUGCUGUCACUUAUAGAUGGAUCCGCGCCGUAUUAGCUAGUUGGUAAGGUAACGGCUUACCAAGGCAACGAUACGUAGCCGACCUGAGAGGGUGAUCGGCCACACUGGAACUGAGACACGGUCCAGACUCCUACGGGAGGCAGCAGUAGGGAAUCUUCCGCAAUGGGCGAAAGCCUGACGGAGCAACGCCGCGUGAGUGAUGAAGGUCUUCGGAUCGUAAAACUCUGUUAUCAGGGAAGAACAAAUGUGUAAGUAACUGUGCACAUCUUGACGGUACCUGAUCAGAAAGCCACGGCUAACUACGUGCCAGCAGCCGCGGUAAUACGUAGGUGGCAAGCGUUAUCCGGAAUUAUUGGGCGUAAAGCGCGCGUAGGCGGUUUUUUAAGUCUGAUGUGAAAGCCCACGGCUCAACCGUGGAGGGUCAUUGGAAACUGGAAAACUUGAGUGCAGAAGAGGAAAGUGGAAUUCCAUGUGUAGCGGUGAAAUGCGCAGAGAUAUGGAGGAACACCAGUGGCGAAGGCGACUUUCUGGUCUGUAACUGACGCUGAUGUGCGAAAGCGUGGGGAUCAAACAGGAUUAGAUACCCUGGUAGUCCACGCCGUAAACGAUGAGUGCUAAGUGUUAGGGGGUUUCCGCCCCUUAGUGCUGCAGCUAACGCAUUAAGCACUCCGCCUGGGGAGUACG
rnacentral:rRNA from 1 species